GUCUAUGAUCAUGCCACUAUGAACGUGCUCGAUCCCAUCUGAUAUCAAAAGCUAAGCAGGGUCAGGCCUGGUUAGUACUUGGAUGGAAGACCACCUAGGAAUACCAGGUACUGUAGGCA
rnacentral:rRNA from 1 species